UACGUAGGGUGCGAGCGUUGUCCGGAAUUAUUGGGCGUAAAGGGCUCGUAGGCGGUCUGUCGCGUCGAAAGUGAAAACUCAGGGCUUAACCCUGAGCCUGCUUCCGAUACGGGCAGACUAGAGGUAUGCAGGGGAGAACGGAAUUCCUGGUGUAGCGGUGAAAUGCGCAGAUAUCAGGAAGAACACCCGUGGCUAAGGCGGCUCUCUAGUACGGUACUGACGCUGAGACGCGAAAGCGUGGGGAGCGAACAGG
rnacentral:rRNA from 1 species